rnacentral:rRNA from 1 species
UAAUACGUAGGGGGCAAGCGUUGUCCGGAAUCAUUGGGCGUAAAGAGCGUGUAGGCGGCCUGAUAAGUCGGUUGUGAAAGUCAAGGGCUCAACCCUUGAAUGCCGACCGAUACUGUCAGGCUAGAGUCCGGAAGAGGCGAGUGGAAUUCCUGGUGUAGCGGUGAAAUGCGCAGAUAUCAGGAGGAACACCAAUGGCGAAGGCAGCUCGCUGGGACGGUACUGACGCUGAGACGCGAAAGCGUGGGGAGCGAACAGGAUUAGAUACCCUGGUAGUCCACGCCGUAAACGAUGGGCACUAGGUGUGGGAGGUGUCGACUCCUUCCGUGCCGAAGCUAACGCAUUAAGUGCCCCGCCUGGGGAGUACGGCCGCAAGGCUA